AUUGAACGCUGGCGGCAAGCCUAACACAUGCAAGUCGAACGGUAACGAAGAAAAGUAAUUUUCUGUCGACGAGUGGCGGACGGGUGAGUAAUAUCUGGGGAUCUACCCGAUGGAGGGGGAUAACCAUUGGAAACGAUGGCUAAUACCGCAUAUUCUUGUUACAAAAGAAAAGUGGGGGACCUGAAUUUAAUAGGCCUCACACCACCGGAUGAACCCAGAUGGGAUUAGCUAGUUGGUGAGGUAAAGGCUCACCAAAGCGACGAUCCCUAGCUGGUCUGAGAGGAUGGCCAGCCACACUGGAACUGAGAUACGGUCCAGACUCCUACGGGAGGCAGCAGUGGGGAAUAUUGCACAAUGGGGGAAACCCUGAUGCAGCUAUGCCGCGUGUAUGAAGAAGGCCUUAGGGUUGUAAAGUACUUUCAGUAGAAAGGAAGAAAAAAUAGCUAAUAACUAUUUUUUUGACGUUAUCUACAGAAGAAGCACCGGCUAACUCCGUGCCAGCAGCCGCGGUAAUACGGAGGGUGCAAGCGUUAAUCGGAAUUACUGGGCGUAAAGAGCACGUAGGUGGUAAGUUAAGUCAGAUGUGAAAGCCCUGGGCUUAACCUAGGAAUGGCAUUUGAAACUGAUUUACUCGAGUAUCGUAGAGGGAGGUAGAAUUUCGGGUGUAGCGGUGAAAUGUGUAGAUAUCCGAAAGAAUACCAGUGGCGAAGGCGGCCUCCUGGACGAGUACUGACACUGAGGUGCGAAAGCAUGGGGAGCAAACAGGAUUAGAUGCCCUGGUAGUCCAUGCCGUAAACGAUGUCGAUUUGGAGAUUGUAGAUAUUAAACUAUGGUUUCCGGAGCUAACGCGUUAAAUCGACCGCCUGGGGAGUACGACCGCAAGGUUAAAACUCAAAUGAAUUGACGGGGGCCCGCACAAGCGGUGGAGCAUGUGGUUUAAUUCGAUGCAACACGAAGAACCUUACCUGGUCUUGACAUCCGUAGAAUUCUAUAGAAAUAUAGAAGUGCUGUAAUAGGAACUACGAGACAGGUGCUGCAUGGCUGUCGUCAGCUCGUGUUGUGAAAUGUUGGGUUAAGUCCCGCAACGAGCGUAACCCUUAUCCUUUGUUGCCAGCGCAUAAAGGCGGGAACUCAAAGGAGACUGCCGGUGACAAGCCGGAGGAAGGUGGGGAUGACGUCAAGUCAUCAUGGCCCUUACGACCAGGGCUACACACGUGCUACAAUGGCGUAUACAAAGAGAAGCAACCUCGUAAGAUUUAGCAGAUCUCAUAAAAUACGUCGCAGUUCGGACUGGAGUCUGCAACUCGACUCCACGAAGUAGGAAUCGCUAGUAAUCGUGAAUCAGAAUGUCACGGUGAAUACGUUCCCGGGCCUUGUACACACCGCCCGUCACACCAUGGAAGUGGGUUGUAAAAGAAGUAAGUAGUUUAACCUUAUAAAAAGGAGGGCACUUACCACUUUAUGAUUCAUGACUGGGGUG
rnacentral:rRNA from 1 species